CGSGUGAGUGAUGACGGCAUUCAGGUUGUAAGCUCUGUCUUUGGGGACGAUAAUGACGGUACCAAGGAGGAAGCCACAGGCUAACUACGUGCCAGCAGCCGCGGUAAUACGUAGGAUGGCAAGCAGUUGUCACGGAUUUACAUGGGCGUAAAGGGAACGUAGGCGAUUUUAAUGGGAUGUGAUACCCGGGCUCAACCUGGGAGCUGCAUUCCAACUAGVCUCUAGAGUGCAGGAGGGGAAAAUGGAAUUCCUAGUGUAGCGUGAAAUGCGUAGAGAUUAGGAAGAACACCAGUGGCGAAGGCGACUUUCUGGACUGUWACUGACGCUGAGGCUCGNAGCGUGGGGAGCAAACAGGAUUAGAUACCCUGGUAGUCCACGCCGUAAACGAUAAAUACUAGGUGUAGGGGUUGUCAUGACCUCUGUGCCGCCGCUAACGCAUUAAGUAUUCCGCCUGGGGAAUUACGGUCGCAAGAUUAASACUCAAAGGUAUUGACGGGGGCCCGCACAAGUAGCGGACAUGUGGUUUAAUUCGAAGCAACGCGAAGAACCUUACCUAGACUUGACAUCUCCUGAAUUACCAUGUAAUGUGGGAAGUCCUUUCGGGGACAGGAAGACAGGUGGUGCAUGGUUGUCGUCAGCUCGUGUCGUGAGAUGUUGGGUUAAGUCCCGCAACGAGCGCAACCCUUAUUGUKAGUUGCUACCAUUUAGUUGAGCACUCUAGCGAGACUGCCCGGGUUAACCGGGAGGRAGGKGGGGAUGACGUCAAAKCAUCAUGCCCCUUAUGUCUAGGGCUACACACGUGCUAMAAUGGCCGGUACAACGAGAUGCAAUACCGUGAGGUGGAGCAAAACUAUAAVMMMGGUCUCAGUUCGGAUUGUAGGSKGARACKCGCCUACAUGAGGSKGGGGUKACURGKAAWMVCVAAUMARAAUGUMSCGGKGAAUAAGUUCCCGGGCMUUGUAAAAACGCCCGUMAAACAWGARAGUUGGSAAUACCMAARUUGKGGUUUAACCGUAAGGRGGGAGCAMCUAAGGKRGGGKAGSGRUKGGGGGAGGKG
rnacentral:rRNA from 1 species